rnacentral:rRNA from 1 species
GACGAACGCUGGCGGCGUGCUUAACACAUGCAAGUCGAACGAUGAAGAAGAGAAACGCGAACUUCGGUUCAAAUUUCACUUCGGAUUAGUGGCAGACGGGUGAGUAACGCGUGAGCAACCUACCUCUUACAAAGGGAUAGCCUCGGGAAACCGUGAUUAAUACCAUAUGACACAUUCAUAAGGCAUCUUAAGAAUGUUAAAGCUACGGCGGUAAGAGAUGGGCUCGCGUCCCAUUAGCUAGUUGGUGAGGUAACGGCCCACCAAGGCGACGAUGGGUAACCGGCCUGAGAGGGUGAACGGUCACAUUGGAACUGAGACACGGUCCAAACUCCUACGGGUGGCAGCAGUGGGGAAUAUUGCACAAUGGAGGGAACUCUGAUGCAGCGACGCCGCGUGAGCGAUGAAGGAAUUCGUUUCGUAAAGCUCUGUUCUAUGGGAAGAAAAGGACUGUACCAUAGGAGAAAGCCCCGGCUAAAUACGUG